rnacentral:lncRNA from 1 species
AGCCGUUGCAUAUCUCAAGACCGUUCAAAAAGAUGGUCACGCUGAGAUCGGAUUUGUCAUGGCUAAAGGACGGUUAACACCCAAAUCCGAACCUACCAUCCCACGUCUAGAACUCUGUGCGGCUGUUUCAGCUGUUGAGUUGGCGGACCUCAUCCAAGAGGAGCUAGAUGUAAAGUUUGAUAAGGUUAAUUUCUACAGUGACAGCAAGGUAGUACUCGGAUACAUCCAUAAUACCACUAAAAGGUUCUACGUCUAUGUGCACAACAGGAUUCAGCUUAUACGCCACUCUUCCAAACCAGAACAAUGGCAUUAUGUUCCCUCUGAAGAAAAUCCCAUGGAUCACAUUUCAAGAUUCCUGCCCGCCUCUUGUCUAGCGCAAACAACCUGGUUCUUUGGACCAUCAUUCCUACGAAAUACCCCUGGAGAAAGCAAGCACACAUGUGAAAGAUUUGACUUAAUACAACCGGAAAAGGACAUUGAAAUCAGGCCAGAAAUAAAAACUUACAGUACACAUCUGAUGGAGAACAUACUCAAUCCAGAUUGCUUCCAGCGCUUCUCUAGUCUUCAUUCACUCCUUAGAGCUGUUGCAUGCCUGACUCACAUAGCUAAAUCCUGCAAACAAUCGGGCAAAGUUAGGGCGUGCAAAGGGUGGCACUGGUGUAAACAACCACGUUCACCCGAGGAACUUGACCAAGCUAUGAAUGUUAUCCUCCAAGCUGCACAAAGAUCUGCCUUCCAAAAGGAACUUGUGGCUCUGCAGGCUAAAAAGCCCAUUCCGAAGGAUAGCCCAAUCAUCACUGAUGGCUUGAUUCGCAUUGGAGGCCGGCUACAACAUUCGAACUUAGAAACUAAUGAAAGGCAUCCUGUGAUUUUGCCAAGGAACAGCUAUGUAGCCUUACUGCUGACACGCCAUCACCAUGAGCAAGUGAAACAUCAGGGACGCCACUUCACGGAGGGAGCCAUACGAGCAGCAGGAUACUGGAUCUUGGGUGGCAAAAGGCUCAUCAACACAGUCAUUCAUAACUGUGUGACGUGCAGGAAGCUUAGAGGUAAAGUUGAGGAACAAUACAUGGCAGACUUACCUACAGAGCGUCUCCAAACAUGCCCUCCAUUCACCUAUGUUGGACUAGAUGUUUUCGGUCCGUGGAUGGUUACUGCUAGGAGGACCCGUGGAGGACAUGCAGAAAGUAAAAGAUGGGCAAUCAUGUUCAGCUGUUUAAGUUCUAGAGCAGUACACAUAGAGCUGAUAGAGUCUAUGGAUGCAUCAAGUUGCAUAAAUGCACUUAGGCGCUUUUUCGCCAUCAGAGGACCAGCUAAGCAGUUGAGGUCCGACUGUGGCACGAACUUCAUCGGUGCAAGCAAAGAACUUGGAAUGGAUAAAAACCAACUGGACUCGGGAAUACAAAGAUACCUUAGCGAGAAAGGAUGUGUUUGGGAGUUUAAUCCUCCUCAUGCUUCGCAUAUGGGCGGCAGUUGGGAGAGAAUGAUAGGCGCUGCUAGAAGGAUCUUGGACUCUAUGUUGCUAAAUGCCCGCCUCACCCACGAAGUUCUCUCUACAUUAAUGGCGGAAGUUGCUGCGAUUAUGAAUGCACGACCAUUAGUACCGGUUUCUACAGACCCGGACAACCCUCAGGUUCUUUCUCCAUCCAUGCUUCUCACCCAAAAGUCAGGUGCUCCACCACCACUUGGUGACUUCUCGGAGAAGGGUAUGUACACUAAACAGUGGAAACAAGUACAAGCACUGGCAAACCAAUUCUGGACACGAUGGCGCAGAGAAUACCUGCCUUAUUUACAGC